rnacentral:rRNA from 1 species
AGGCUGCAACUCGCCUGCAUGAAGCUGGAAUUGCUAGUAAUCGCGGAUCAGCAAGCCGCGGUGAAUACGUUCCCGGGCCUUGUACACACCGCCCGUCACACCAUGAGAGUCGGGAACACCCGAAGUCCGUAGCCUAACCGCAAGGGGGGCGCGGCCGAAGGUGGGUCCGGUAAUUGGGGUGAAGUCGUAACAAGGUAUC